CAAUCAUUCUGUGUUGGAGAUGAUGUUUUUUUUAUUACCAGUCAGGCUUUCCUGGUACUAUUUCCCUGGACUUUGCUGAGAGGAAGUUUGUAUAAUGAUUUCUCAGUGGGAAAAAAUACUCUUGUCUAGAAUUUCUUCAGAAAGAAAUAUGAACAAGAAAACAACAUCUUUCUCAACAAGAUGGUGAAAUCAAAAGAACAAUUUAAGUUGUUUACUGAAAACCAGAAAGCAGCAUGGUAAAGGACAAACUAAUUGACCCUUCUUUCCCACAGGCUUCAUAUCUGUAUGGUGAGGAUAACAUCUAUAGUUCAUGCAUAAGGUAUGGAGAAUAUUAAAGAAGAUAUGGUACAGAGUAAAAACACAAAUCUUAAUGCUUUCCUUUUUCUUUGAAAAGAAAAUGAUCUACCUUCAUGUGAUAAAGACCCCAUUCAGACUAUGGAAGGCAAAUACUGGACUUACCAAGUCACACUAACUCCAAAAUCAAAUUGCGAGAAUGACGCACAGAACACAUGACAAAGAAGGGACUAGCAAAUAAACUGCUACAUUUGAAUGAUAAA